GACGUAGGGCGCGAGCGUUGUCCGGAUUUAUUGGGCGUAAAGAGCUCGUAGGCGGCUUGUCGCGUCGACUGUGAAAACCCGCGGCUCAACCGCGGGCCUGCAGUCGAUACGGGGCAGGACUAGAGUGGUGUAGGGGAGACUGGAAUUCCUGGUGUAGCGGUGAAAUGCGCAGAUAUCAGGAGGAACACCGAUGGCGAAGGCAGGUC
rnacentral:rRNA from 1 species